rnacentral:lncRNA from 1 species
CUGCCCCUUGGAAGGAAUGCUGUGGUGAUGAUGCUUAUGAACAUUGUGAUAUGCCAGGCCAUUUAAGGGCAUCUUGAAAACAACCUAGCACUUGAGAAAGUGUUGCCUCACAUCUGGGGUAAUGUGGGUUUUGCCUUCACAAAGGAUGACUUCACAGAGAUUAGUGACAUACUGAUGGCCAGUAAGGUGCUGGCUACCACCUGUGCUGGUGCCAUUGGCCCAUAUGAGAUCACUGUGCCAGUCCAGGGCAUUGGUCUGGGGCUUGAGAACCUCUUUUGUCUUGUUUUUAGACAUCACCACUGAUAUCUCCAGGGGUUCCAUUGACAUUCUGAGUAAUGUUCAGCAGAUAAAAACUGAAGACAAAGCAGGAGCUGCAGUGCUAAACUGAGAAAUAUGGUGAAUGUCUCCUCUUUCUCCUUUGGACUGAUCAUCUAGCAGGUGUUUAAUAGUGGCAGCAUUUAUAGCCUGGAAGUAGUUGGCAUCAAAAAACUAACUCUACACUCACUUUCUAGAGGGUGUCUGAAAUAUUGCCAGUGUUUAUCUUCAGAUGAUUUACAUGAAUCUUGCCUCAGUAUCAUACUCUAUCAUCAAUGGAUAUAAGUGGGUCCGGGCUUUCUCUUUGGAGGCUGAGUACACCUUCCCACAUGCUGAAAAGAUCAAGGACUUCUUGGCUGAUCUAUCUGUGCUAGUGGUUGCUGUUCCCGCUGCUAUUGCAGCUUCAGCCAAGGCUGAAGCAAAGGAAGAAUCAGAGAAGUCAGUUGAUAAUAUGGAUUUUGAUCUCUGACUAA